UACGGAGGGGGCUAGCGUUGUUCGGAAUUACUGGGCGUAAAGCGCACGUAGGCGGCUUUGUAAGUUAGAGGUGAAAGCCUGGAGCUCAACUCCAGAAUUGCCUUUAAAACUGCAUCGCUUGAAUCCAGGAGAGGUGAGUGGAAUUCCGAGUGUAGAGGUGAAAUGCGUAGAUAUCCGGAAGAACACCAGUGGCGAAGGCGGCUUGCUGGGCUGGUAUUGACGCUGAGGUGCGAAAGCGUGGGGAGCAAACAGG
rnacentral:rRNA from 1 species